GGGUUGUGAGGUUAAGCGACUAAGCGUACACGGUGGAUGCCCUGGCAGUCAGAGGCGAUGAAGGACGUGCUAAUCUGCGAUAAGCGUCGGUAAGGUGAUAUGAACCAUUAUAACCGGCGAUUUCCGAAUGGGGAAACCCAGUGUGAUUCGUCACACUAUCAUUAACUGAAUCCAUAGGUUAAUGAGGCGAACCGGGGGAACUGAAACAUCUAAGUACCCCGAGGAAAAGAAAUCAACCGAGAUUCCCCCAGUAGCGGCGAGCGAACGGGGAGCAGCCCAGAGCCUGAAUCAGUGUGUGUGUUAGUGGAAGCGUCUGGA
rnacentral:rRNA from 2 species